rnacentral:rRNA from 1 species
UACGUAGGCAGCGAGCGUUGUUCGGAUUUACUGGGCGUAAAGGGUGUGUAGGCGGUUGUUUAAGUUUGGUGUGAAAUCUCCCGGCUCAACUGGGAGGGUGCGCCGAAUACUGAAUGACUAGAGUGCGGGAGAGGAAAGUGGAAUUCCUGGUGUAGCGGUGAAAUGCGUAGAUAUCAGGAGGAACACCGGUGGUGUAGACGGCUUUCUGGGACGUUACUGACGCUGAGACGCGAAAGCGUGGGGAGCAAACAGG